rnacentral:lncRNA from 1 species
GUCUGCUCAGGAGCUGGAAGAAAGUCAUCUGUCUAUGUAACCCCUGUUGCAAUGUGCUUGCUGCCAAGAGCAAGAAAAAUGUAUUUUUAUCCAAUAUAAUAGCAUUUAUGUAGACCAUGAAAGUCUCUUAAGUUUUCACCUUGGAAAGGACAACUUACUGGAGAGAACUGAAUGUUUUCACCUUGUUGUUUUUUUCUUUUUUCUGUUCAGUUUUACAGAGACAAUUUUUUGCUCAGGGGAAAGAAUCUGGUGCUGUGUGAAAGAUGGGGAAAGCAGAAAAACAAGCAGUUGUAAAGUCAUGUUUUCAUCUUCCAAAAAUGAUCAGAAGAAGAGAGAGGAAAAUACACGACUUGGGUAAGAUGUGCCUGGUUAUAUCUGAAAAAGACUGAUAUGAAGUCUCAAAAAGUUUGCUUUCUUAGGUAUUCCCUGGAGAGAAGUGGUUCCGAGGGAGAGUGACCAAGUCUUCAACUACAAUGCUCUAGCAAUGACAGUCCCCUGCAAUGGCAAUUGGGCACAGCUGAGAAGGGCACCUACCCUACUGCACAGUGACCUGAGAACCCUGAAGUAAUUCCUCUUUUUAUUUCUGAAUCACCCUGCUCACACCAAGGUUUUUGUCUGCUGUGGACUCUUGAUCCCAUUUGGGCCAGUGCAUUAUGGGUGAACUAGCCUGAAGAAGUGCUCAAUGUCAGAAAUCUGUGAAGUCCACCAUGAUUUUCUUUUCAGAAGGCGGAUUUUCAGAGAUGCUAUUAGCACUAAGAUCAGUGCUUUCUUUCCCUCCGCUGAUACUUGAGAAGCUUUGUUUUACUGUGGAUAAUGAAACCGUAAUGCUGGGCUCCGUAAUUGCAGA